CUCAGAAUGGACAAUUGCAUUCCAUUAUCAAAUAAUUAAGUUUAGGAAAGGUGGGAAGAUAGACCUAAAAUUGAGUUUAUUCCUUUUUUUUUUUUUUUCUUUUUGUAAAAAAAAAAAAACAGUCAAGGUUAGACUUCCUAGAUGGUUUUCCUUCAAAACACUACUUCUCAGUGUUGGGUAGGGUAGGAUUUUGCUUCUGGGGGACAUUUUGACGUCUGGAGACGUUUUAGAUCCCUUGUGGUCAGUGGUUAAGUGAUCAGCUGCUAACCAAGAGGUCAGCAGUUCAAAUCCAGCUGCUGUGUGGGAGAAGGAUGUGGUAGUCUGCUUCUGUGAAGACUAAAAAAAAAGACUACAGCCUUGAAAACCUGAUGGGACAAUUUUACUCUAUCUUACAGGGUCACUAUGAGUCGAAAUGGUCUCCACUGGCAAUAGGCUUUUUAGUUUUAAUUUAAAUAUGCACAUAUCUUACGUUUUAAAGACUUGUUUGUAUAUGUAAGUCAGUAGUUUUCAAAGUGUAGUCCUUGAACCCUUAGGAGUAAAACCUGUUCAUAUUAAUACUAAAAUAUUAUAUGCCCUUUUCUCUUUGAUGUUUGGAUGAAAGAUACAAAAGCAAUGCUGAGUAAAACAGCUGAUACCUUAGCAGGAAAUCAAGGCAGUGGCCCUGAAUUGUCUAGUAGUGUGUAUUCUUCUCUGUCAUGAAUACUUCACGUCAUACAGUUAAAAAAAAAACCUCAUUUUUCCUUCAGAUUCUUUUUCAGUACAAAUUAAAUUUUACUCUACUUGGCUCUAGAGUAUCUGUGUGAUAAAAUGGGUAUGUGCUGCAGAGGAAAAGAAUUUGUGUGAUUGAGUUGCUAGCUCAGCUACCCCCCUCCCCAUUUUCAUGUAAUAUCUUCUUUAAUUGAAAGAACAACUGAAAAACCAUGGUUAUUCAGACUUGGGUAUUUGGCAAACAUUUCUUUGAAAAUGAACAAAAUGAACUUGUUACUAAUAAAAUUGGAGCUUUCAGGCAAAAAUUAGAAUUUGGGGAAAUCUGUAUGGGCCACCUUGAGCUUGAUAGCAUUCUAGUAAAGACAUUCGUGGUAAUAAUGAUAGUGAUAGUGAUAUUAUAUAAUGAACUGUGUCAACAUUUGGAAGAACUGAAUAACUCAGUAAACCAACGUUUUCCAGAUGGCGUUAUUAAAUCACACGUAGGUAAAGAUCCCAUUCAAAGAGCACAUUAGACAAAUGGAUUUUGUAUGUGUGUGUGGUAAAAUACGUAUAACAAAACAUUUCGCAUUUCAACCAUUUGUAUGUGUACAAUUCAGUGACAUUUAUUACAUUCACCAUGCUGUGCAGCUGUCAUCCCUAUCCAUUUCCAAAUUUUUUUAUUAUCAUCCUUAACAGAAACUCCAUACUCCUUAAGGAAUAACUUUCCAUUUUCCCCUCCCACCUGCCCUUAGUAAGCUCUAAUAAACAUUGAUCUCUAUGCAUAGAGAUUUUAUAUAGGUGGGUCAUACAAUAUUGUCCAGUAGUGUCUGACUUAGUUCACUCAGUAUAAUCUUUUCAAGGUUCAUCCAUGUUUUACCAUGUAUCAGAACUUCAUAUUUCUUCAUGGCUGAAUUACUGCAUUGUAUGGAUUUCCCACAUUUUAUCCAUUCAUCUGUUGAUGGAUACUUAGGUUGUUUCCACUUUUUGGCAGUUGUUAAUAAUGCUUCCCCCACGUGUCUGUCAUUUUGUCGUACUGUGGGGGCUUGCAUGUUGCUGUCAUGCUGGAAGCUCUGCCACUGGUAUUCAGAUACCAGCAGGGUCACCCAUGGCAGACAGGUUUUAGUGGAGCUUCCAGACUGAGACAGACUAGGAAGAAGGACGUAGUGGUCUAUUUCUGAAAAGAAUUAGCCAGUGAAAACCUUAUGGAUAGCAGUGGAACAUUGUCAGAGACUGUCCCAGAAGAUGAGCUGCCUCCUCAGAGUAGAGUUAACUUAAUGAUGUGGAUCGAGUCAAGAUUUUAGAACCUUCAUUUCCUGAUGUGGCACGACUCAAAAUGAGAAGAAACAGCUGCGAACAUCCAUUAAUAAUCGGAACCUAGAAUGUACAAAGUAUGAAUCUAGGAAAAUUGGAAUCAUAAAAAACAAAAUAGAACACAUAAGCAUCAAUGUCCUAGGCAUUAGUGAGCUGAAAAGGACUGGUAUUGGCCAUUUUGAAUCGGACAGUCAUAUGGUCUGCUGUGCCAGCAGCAACAACCUGAAGAGGAAUAGCAUUGCAUUCAUCAUCAAAAAACAUUUCAGGAUCUAUCCUGAAGUACAGUGCUGUGGGUGAUAGGGUAAUAUCCAUACGCCUGCAAGGAAGAUCAGUUAACGUGACCUACUUUUCAAAUUUACGCACCAACCACUAAGGUCAAAGACAAAGAAAUUAAAGAUUUUUUUACCAACUUCUGCAGUCUCCAAUUGAUUGAACAUGCAAUCAGGAUGCAUCGAUAAUUACUGGUGAUUGGAAUGCAAAAGGUGGAAACAAAGAAGGAUUGGUUGUUGGAAAAUAUGCCCUCGGUGAUAGAAAUGAUGCUGGAGAUGGCAAGAUAGAAUUUUGCGAGACCAGUGACUUUUUCAUUGCAAGUAUCUUUUUUGAAUAACAUAAGUGGCGAUUAUACACCCGGGCCUCACCAGAUGGAAUACACAGGAAUCAAAUCAACUACAUCUGUGUAAAGAGAUGAUGGAGAAGCUCAGUAUCAUCAGUCAGAACAAGACCAGGGGCCGACUGCAGAACAGACCAUCAGCUGUUCAUAUAUAAGUUCAAGUUGAAGCCGAAGAAAAUAAGAACAAGUCCAAGAGAGCCAAAGUACAGGCUUGAAUAUAUCUCACCUGAAUUUAGAGACCAUCUCAAGAAUAGAUUUGACACAUUGAACACUAAUGACCAGACAAGUUGUGGAAUGACAUCAAGGACAUCAUACGUGAAGAAAGCAAGAGGUCAUUAAAAUGACAAGAAAGAAAGAAAAGACCAAAAUGGAUGUCAAAAGAGACUCUUAAACUUGCUCUUGAAUAUUAGGUAUCUAAAGCAAAUGGAAGAAGUGAUGAAGUAAAAGAGCCGAACAGAAGAUUUCAAAGGGUGGCUCCAGAAAACAAAGUAAAGUAACCUGGAGUUAGGAAACCAAAAGGGAAGAACAUGCUGGACGUUUCUCAAGCUGAAAGAUCUGAAGAAAAAAUUCAAGCCUGGAGAUGCAAUAUUGAAGGCUUCUACAAGGAAAAUAUUAGAUGACACAGGAAGCAUCAAAAGAUGAUGGAAGGAAUACACAGAGUCACUAUACCAAAAAGAAUUGGUCAACAGAACCGGUGGUACUGAAGGAAGAGGUUCAAGCUGCACUGAAGGUAUUGGCAGAAAAACAAGGCUCCAGGGAUUGAUGGACUACCAGUUGAGAUGUUUCAACAAACAGAUGCAGUGCUGCAAGUGCUCACUUGUCUAUGCCAAGAAAUUUUGGAAGACAGCUUCUUGGCCAGCCAGCUGGAAGAGAUCAGUAUUUGUGCUCCUUCCAAAUAAAGGUGAUCCAACUGAAUGCAGAAAUUAUCCAACAGUAUUGUUGAUAUCACACGCAAGUAAAAUUUUGCUGAAAAUCAUUUAGAAUGAGCUGCAGCAGUAUAUCAACAGGGAACUGCCAGAAAUUCAAGCCAGAUUCAGAAGACGAGGUGGAAAGAGGGAUAUCAUUGCUGAUGGCAGAUGAAUCUUGGUUGAAGUCAGAGAUAACCAGAAAGAUGUUUACCUCUGUUUUACAUUCACUGAGCAGAGGCAUUCUACUGUGUGGAUUACGAGAAUUUAUGGGUGAUUGCCAAGGAUGGGGAUUCCAGAACACUUAAUUGUGCCCAUGAGGAAUCCGUACAUAGAUAAAGAGGCAGUCGUUGGAACUGAACAAGGGGAUACUGCAUUGUUCAAAGUCAGGAAAGGUGUGUGUCAGGGUUGUAUGCUUUCACCAUAUUUAUUCAAUCUGUCUGCUGAGGAAAUAAUCCGAAAAGAUGGACCAUAUUAAGAAGAAUGAGGCAACAGGAUUGGAGGAAGACUCGUUAACAACCUGCAAUAUGCAGAUGACAAAACCUUGCUUGCCGAAAGUGAAGAAGACUUGAAGCACUUAUUGAUGAAGAUCAAAGACUACAGUCUUCAAUAUGGAUUAUACCUCAACAUAAAGAAAACAAAAAUCCUCACAACUGGGCCAGUAAGCAGCAUCAUCAUAAACAGAGAAACAAUUGAAGUUGUCAAGGAUUUCAUUUUACUGGAUCCAUAACAACACCCAUGGAAGCAGCAGGCAGGAAAUCAAAGGACACAUUGAGUGAAUCUGCUGCAAAAGACCUUUUUAAAGUGUUAAAAUGCAAAGAUGUCACCUUGUAGGCUAAGGUGGGCCUGACCCAAGCCAUGGUGUUUUAAAUUGCAUCUGCAUGCGAAAGCUGAACAGUGAAUAGGGAAGACUGAAGAAAAAUCAAUGCCUUUGAAUUAAUGGUGUUGGCGAAGAAUAUUGAGUACACCAUGGACUGCUAGAGGAACGAACAAAUCUCUCACGGAAGAAGUACAACCAGAGUUCUCCUUGGAAGCAAGGAUGGCAAGACUUCUCUCAUGCUUUGGAUAUGUUAUCAGGAAGGAUCAGUCCCUGGAGAAGGACAUCACGCUUGGUAAGGUGGAUGGAGGGUCAGUGAAAGAGAGGAAGACCCUCAACGAGGUGGAUUGACACAGUGGCUGCAACAAUGGACUCAAACAUAGCAACAAUUGUUAGAAUGGCACAAGACUACACAAUUUUUAAUUCUGUUUUCCAUAGGGUCACCAUUAGUUGGAACCAACUCGAUGGCAUCUAACAACAACAACAACAAUAAUAAUGCUCCAGUGAACAUUGGUAAGCAGGAAACUAAGACCCUGAGUCUUAGGCUGGGUGUUCUAGAGAAGCAAAUCCAGUAAAGCGGAUAAGUACAUAUAGAGAGAGAUUUGUGUGAAGGAAAUAGCUACUGUGGUUGUAGAGGCUGGAACAUCCUAAAUCCGUGGAUCAGGCUGGAGGCUUCUCAUGAAUCACAUAGCAGCAGGGCUGGGGAACCCAAAAUGGGCAGGCAAGAUGGCAGGUAAGCUGCUAGCUCAAGUCCCAAUAACUGGAGGUCAGACAAACAGGAGCCAGCUGCAAAGUCCAGAAUGAGCAAAAGUCCAUGAGCCUUGCCAGAAAGUCUACCUAUAUUGGUUGCAGGCCACACCCCCAAGGAAACUCCCUUUCAACUGAUUGGCGACUCACAGCAGAUCCCACCAUUGAGAUGAUUACAUUAUAUCAGAUGUUAUCAUGGAAGUGAUUACAUCAUUAUACGACUGCCAAACCACUGAGAGUCAUGGCCCAAUCAAUCUGAAACACAACCAUAAUGAUCACACCCUGCUUUCAAGUCUUUUGGGUAGGUAUAUAUACCUAGUAGUGCAACAGCGGAGUCAUAUGGUAAUUCUAUGUUUAAUUUUAUGAGGAACCACCAAACUUUUCCACAGCAACUAUACCAUUUGACGUUCCCACCAACAAUUGAUUAGGGUUCCAAUUUUUCCAUAUCCUUACCAACACUUCUUAUCUUCCAUUUUUCUGGUAAUAGUUAUCCUAGUGAGAGUGAAGUGGUAUUGUGGUUUUGAUUUGCGUUUCCCUAAUGAUUAAUGACGUGUCAAGCAUCUUUUUUUCCCUUAAGUUAAAAUAUUUUUUUGUUUAUUGUACUUUAGGUGAAGAUUUACAGAGCGAACUAGUUUCUCAUUUAACAAUUAAUACACAUAUUGUUCUGUGACAUUGGUUGCCAACCCCACGACAUGUCAACACUCUCCCCUUCUCAGUCUUGGGUUCCCCAUUACCAGCUUUCCUGUCCCCUGCUGCCUUCUUGUCCUUGCCCCUGGGGUGGUGUGCCCUGUUAAGUCUCCUUUUUUUUUUUAUGGGCUUGUUUAAUCUUUGGCUGAUGGGUGAAUGAUGACUUCAUUACUGAGCUAAAGUGUGUCUGGGGCCAUACUCUAGGGGUUUCUCCAGUCUCUGUCAGGCCAGUAAGUCUGGUCUUUUUUUGUGAGUUAGAAUUUUGUUCUACAUUUCUCUCCAACUCUGUCUGGAACACCCUGUUGUGAUCCCUGUCAGAGCAGUUGGUGAUGGUAGCCAGGUACCAUCUAGUUGUGCUGGACUCAGUCUGGUGGAGGCUGUGGUAGCUGUGUUCCAUUAGUUCUUUGAGGUAAUCUUUCCCUUGUGUCUUUGGUUUCCUUUAUUCUCCCUUGUGUUGAGCGUCUUUUUAUGUGCUUAUUGACUGUAUGUUCUUUAGAGAAAUGUCUGUUCAAAUCCUUUGCCCAUUUUUAAAUUUGGUGGUUUGUUUUUUGUUGUUCAGUUGCAGGGUUUUUUUUUGUUUUGUUUUUUUUAAUAUUCUGGGUACUAAACCCUUAUCAGAUACAUGGUUCCUAAAUAUUUUCUCGGAUUCUGUAGGUUGUUUCUUAACUUCCUUGAUAAAAUCCUUUGGAAGUUUUUAAAUUUGGAGAACUGGAUUUAUCUGUUUUAUCUUUUGUUACUAAUGCUUUUGGUGUUAUAUCUUAGAAUCCUCUGUCAGAAACUGGAUCCCAAAGCGUGUUUUAUUCUUAGCAUUUUAAGCUUUUAGUUCUGACAUUUAGAUCAUUGAUCUGUUUUGAGUUAAUUUUCAUACAUGGUGUGAGGUAUGGGUCCAAUGUCAUUCUUUUGCAAUCUUUUUCUCAGCACCAUUUAUUAAAAACUAUUCCCCAAUUGAAUGCAAUUGGCACCUUGUAAAAAAAUCAGUUGACUGUAGAAAAUGAAUUUAUUUCUGGACUCCCAAUUCUAUUUAAUUUCUUUAUAUCUUUCUCAUUAUACCAGCACCAAAUUGUUUUGAUUACUGUAGCUUUAUAUUAGUUUUUGAAAUAGAGAAGUUUGAGUCCUCUUACUUUGUUUUUAUUUUUCAGGGUUGCUUUGGCUAUUCGGAGCCCCUUGCAGUUUCAUAUGAAUUCAAGGAUUGAGUUUCCCAUUUCUGCCAAGAAACUGUUGGAAUUUGUGACUUGUGGAAUUAAAGAGAGAGAUGCCUGAAAACUAGAGACAGAGAAGUAUACUUUUCAGAAAGGGGAAGAAGGAAGACUAUAGAGCUUGCUAUGGCCCUCAGGCGAAUAGAGACCAAUUGUUGUGCCUUGGAUGACCACUUGGAAGCUUUUAAGAACCCAGGCACUAUGCAAGGAACCAGGAGGUAGAAAAGAAGCACUAAACAUGUUAUUAGGCCAAUUAACGGGGAUGUCUUGUGAAACUGCGACUCAUGAUGGCCCAGUAUAUGCAGAGUAAAACUGUUCUCCACAGGGUUUUCAAGACUGUGGCCUUUCUGAAGCAGAUCACCAGGCCUAUCUUUCAAGGUACCUCUGAGUGGGUUUGAACUGCCAGUCUUUCAGUUAGCAUCAAGCACUUAAUUGUUUGCACCACCCAGGGACUCCUGAGACAUCGUACCCACUGUUUUUAAUGACCUCAGGAGAUGGUGAAUUUUAUCUCUCUGGGUAAUCUCUCUGGCAUUAACCAGAAUUUUUUUUUUUUUUUCAUUAGCUUUAAGGCCAUACAACCCACCAUACAUUGGGCCAGCUCACAGGAAACUGAUCAAGAGAACAGGAGACAUUCAAUGAGAGUUUUCUUUCUUGGUGUUUCAGGAGAACUAGAAAGAGUCACAGCCUUUCCUUAAUGUUGAUGUAUUUAUUGAGGAGGAAAGAAAUUAUGUAACAGGGAAGUGUAGGGCACUGUUUGAGAACUUGGUCUUACCUGGCUAGUUAUGGAACAUUCUUAUGCCUUGUUGUUUAAGGAUUUCUUUUUUAUUUUUCAGGAUUUGUUUUCAGGAAGACAGGAGGAAAGGAAGACAUCUCAGGAUCCCAUUUCAAGGGUCCUUUGGCUACAUUUCCACUGUCAGAACAUUUUCUCCAAGAGUCCUGGGCCAGACACCUGGAUUUCCAGAUGGGUUUUGUAGCCAAGGAGAUUUUAGAGAGGGGAGGUAUUUCAGUUAUGUAGAAAAGUUCAGUUAUCUAAAGAAUUUAUUUUAUAAAAUACCACAAAUCUUUGUGACCUAAAAGAACAGGAAUUUAUUACUUUUCAUGAUUUUGUGGACUGACUAGUAUCAACUGAGUGGUUUUGUUGCGCAUGGUGUAGCUGAGGUCACUCAUGGGCUACAUUUAGCUGGAAGCCCGGCUGGGACUAGGACAUCUAAGAUGGCCUCUCAUCCUCUAAUACCUCUCACCAUUUGGUAAUGUAGCGCAAGUUUCUUCAUACCAUGGCAUUUAGCUUCCAAGAAGGAAUAUUUCAAGAGGACAAGCCCCAAUAUGCACGCACUAAUCAAGCCUCUGCUGGCAUCAUUUUGCUAAUGUCUCAUUGGCCAAAGCAAGUCACAUGAUCAAGUCUAGAGUCAGUGUGGGAGGGGGCUACACAAGGGUGCAAAUACCAGGAGGUUUUGUUCACUGGAGGCCACCCCUAUAACGAUUUACCACAAGUGAGCAGGGCAGUUUUGCACACCGGCUCCUCAGUUGUCAGUGCUUAGGUAUGCAUGCAUAACCUAAGAUCUGGUCCUUGACUUUGCAGUUCCAGAAACUGUGUGAUUAGGAGUUUAUGCUUAGCCCCAUGCGUUUAUCUGAAAUUGCCUCUCAUCAUGACUCGAAGAUGUGAAUUUAGGGUGUCAUAGUUUUAUCUCAGGACUCUGUCAUCUUGGCCACAGAUGGUUGAACCAGAGUGGACACCUAACCUAUGACUCUGUUGGCUGAGCUGGCCCAAUUGGACUUUCUCUUAAGACUUUGGAAUGGGAAUACUGAGAGACUAAGAUCCAAACUGGUGAAGAGAUUAUAGAAAAUCUCGUAGAUAGUCUAAAACGAGUUCAGAAAUAUAUCUAAAACUCCUGAGAUGACUAGAAAAUGAGACUGCUAAACCAUAGUUUAAGUGGUUAAGUGCUAUGGCUGCCAACCAAAAGGUCGGUAGUUCGAAUCCGCCAGACGCUUCUUGGAAACUCUAUGGGGCAGUUCUACUCUGUCCUCUAGGGUCGCUAUGAGUCGGAAUCGACUCAGCGGCAGUGGUUUUAAACCAUAGUUAUUAAGAGAUUGGCUGCUAACCAAAAGGUUGGCAGUUUGAAUCCACCAGCUGCUUCUUGGAAACCCUAUGGGCAGUUCUACUUUGUCCUAUAGGGUCGCUAUGAGUUGGAAUCAACUUGAUGGCAGCAGGUAUUCACUAGUGGAUAUAUGUUUCUGCUCAUUCUAUUAUGCUCCAUGACAAUAUCUAGCUGCAAGGGAGGCUGGGAAAUGUCAUCUCUAGCUGAGUAGCCAUGCACCCAACUACUAUGGAAGAAGGAGAAAGUGUAUUUUAGUGAAGACUUAGCUGCUGCCUCCUUCCCCCCACCCCCUCCCCACACAGCAUAGUGUUCAAUUCCUGGUUACCUUUCAGGAGGGAGAAAGACAAGAGUGUAUUUACAGGGAGUAAACAGGAUGAUGAAGGCCUCAAAAUCAGGCCAUAAACAGAUUGGUUGAAAACUUGGGGAUCGUUGUAUUGAAUAUUUAGGAAACGAAAUGGCUGCUUUUGAAUGUUUUACGUGCAAAAAGAGAUAAAUGUUAUUCUGUAAAGGCUCCAGGAGUAAAUAUAAUAAGGGGAAGCUAACCAGUAACCAGUUGCCAUCAAGUCAGUUCUUGACUCAUGGCUCAGAGAAAUGUAUUUAUGUUCAUUAUAAGAAAAGAAGCUUCUAGCAGAGUUGUCCAGAAUGACUUACACCUCAGGUACAUUGUGAACUAGAAGAAGAGACCAAAAAAAAAAAAAAAUUUUUUUAUUGAGUACCUAUUAUGUGGUCAACACUAUUGAGGCACUUUCACAGAUUUGUUGCUUCCAACUCUGAGAGUCUGUUGCAGCUCCACAUACUUUUCUCCAAACCCUAUUUUUCGUGACUCACUGACAAGCCUGCAAAGAGCAUAUAUGAGUUAAAUUUGUGGGGUAGAACAUCCUAGGGGAUAAACCCUGAAGGGUGUUGUGUGUGUUCAAGUUCUGAGUUCUGUGGUAGAUGGAGAAGUUGGCCAGGGUGCGGAAAGAAGGAAGCAUAUCACUUAGUUAUUUUCUGAUUCUCAGUAGCAACCUGAGAUCUUCCAGAAGGGGUUAUAUAGUCCUGACCAGCAUAGCUUUGUGGCGGCCCUCCUGUCUGCCGUAUUAGCACACUGGUGAGCCCAGAGAAUGCUGCCAAGAAGUAUGAGAGGGCUGCUUUGAAAGCUCUGUCCAAUGUACAAAUGUCCAGUGUCUUCCAUAUAGCUCCUGUGGGUACUAGUGGGAGACAAGAUGCCUUUCUUGAUAUGAGUUCCUGGUUGUUUACUGGAGUCAACAAGAGUGUUUUGUCAUUCCUUGUACUUCUGGAUCCAAAGAUCUAAGAGAACAGAGGGGCCCCCAAAUCUGCAAUUCACAUAAACAAAGUGACAGAGUAACAGGAAAUGGGCCAGGGCACACAAACAAAGACAUUCCCCAGAACAAUGGGGCAGGGUAUCAGAAACUAGCCCACGAACUUCUUUAAAGUUGUCUCUCAGAAGCAACCAGAUGAAAUGAGCCCCAGAGACAUGCGUCGAACAUCCACCUGUGACCGCUGUGUGACCUUUCACCAGGGGCUGUGAAGGGCGGCAGCCGCAGCUGGGGAAUCCAACUCAGAGUGAGAGACUGCGCAGGCAUGACACCCCAUAAGUCCUAGUAUGAAUUCCAGAGGCCUGUGGGACAGGAGCCAUCUUAGAAAGCAGCUGCGCGUGCACCUUCGGUAGCCUAUCCCCACCCAAAACUGGCUAGUUACUGGAAAACCCCGCCUGUGCCUCUGAAUAAACAUGAACCUUUUUCACACUGAAGUAUUUAAAAGCCCGUGCAAGUCCUUCGUUCUGUGAGACGGGUGGUAAGCAUUGCCUAGGCCUUCCUUACCUCUGCUUGCAAGCCUCUUCAGUAACGCUUUGCUGGUGUGCCUUACCUGCUCAUUCUUGACCAGUGAGAGGCAAGAACCUUAUUUAAUUAAAGGCAUAGAGACCCUGGCAACAGUUCUGAAUCUCCUCAAUAUUUCUGCUUGUUUCUCUUUAAUUGAACACUCACCUCAGUCAAUCCUAAGCUCUAAUGUUAUGCUGGUCUACCAGUGUGGACACUUAAGUGACAAAGUUUUAGGAAGAGACCCUAAAACUUUAAACCUCCUUGAAGCUUGUGAUAAACUUUAUGUGCUGCAGCAAGUAAGAAUUUCCACACUUCCCUGGGAAGUUGGAGGAGAGCUAAGAGAUUGAAGUAGAAAUGUAUUUGGACAUAAAAAUAUUUUAGUCAAGCUGUGAAGAAGCAGCACAGGGGAUGAUUUGAGGCCCCUGGAGCCAUCAAGUAGCAUGAUUGGCAAUACCGUUUGGAGAACAAGGGUGUUCUGUGUGAACAGUUUCUCACACUUACCCACACUCCACCUUCCAGCCCUGUCUGUGUCUUUUAAAUCUAGUGCCUCAAAUUUAGUCAGAUGAUAAUAGACACUUGUCAUGCCUGAGUGAAAGGUUCCAAAGGGAGGUUGGAAGGGUCUUAUGACCCUGAGGAAGACAGGAUGUUUACAGUCCAGUUGAACAUAUCCACCUAAAGAGCUUUAGCCAGCUUCCUCCCAGUUCGUCUAAUGGAAAGCACACUUCAUCACAGCAGGUGACAAUUUUUUCCCAAAAAAUCACAGAAGGUAGACUCAAAUGAGAAAGGCAUAUUCUUUCAAUUGACUUCCUGAGGCGCUCUAACCUUUUGUCUUUAGCCUACUUGUAAUAAGUGCCAUCAAAUUAGCCAAGAAUGACUCUAUCUGAGCAUCCAAGAGUAGGGGCCUGUCUAGAAAAAUUAGUGCCUAUGGCAAUUAGUUUUAAAUUGCUGAAUGAUCUCACAACUGGCAAUGGAAACUUCGAUGGCCAAUAGAAACUGCUCAUUAGAGCCCUUCCUCAAGCAGUACUCAGGGUACACAUCCUACUUGCGAUACCUUAAUAACUCCAGCCCAACCAAGAAGACAGCAUUAGGUUUGUUGUUGUUGUUAGGUGCUCUGAGUCUCAGAGACCCUAUGUACAACAGAAUGAAACACUGCCCAGUCCUGUGCUAUCCUCACAGUAGUUGCUGUGUUAGAACUCACUGUUUCAGUCACUGUGUCAGUCCAUCUCAUUGAGGGUUUUCCUCUUUUUCGGUGACCCUCUAUUUUUCCAAGCAUGAUGUUCUUCAGAGGUUGGACCUGAUCACGAGUCCAAAGUACGUGAGAUGAAGUUUUGCUAGCCUCACUUCUAAUGAGCAUUCUGGCUGCAUUAGGUUUAGAGCAAGAAAUUUUGGAGAAGACACAAGCACAGUAACCUUGACUUAGUUACUUAACAACUCUGAGUCUUGAUUUCCUCAUCUGUAAAAUACCCUGCCCUCCUCUGAGUGUCACUGUUGUCACUGUUGUUAGGUGCUGGUGAAUUGGUUCCGACUCAUUGCGGCCGUAUUAGGAGACUCAGAAUGAGAGCAGCAGUUCUCAGACUCCCUGUGUGUGCACAUCACCUCAGCAUCUUGGUAGAAUGUAGAUUCUAACUCAGGAGGACACGGUGAGGUCUGAGAUUGUGCUUUUCUGGGAAGUUCCCAGGUGAUGUCAAUGCUGCUGGCCUCAGAGGAACAGAAAAGAGAGUAAAAAGGGAUAAAGAGUUAGAGAAUAUUUUUGUAAACCACAAAGUGAUUUGUAGAAAUAAAGAAUAAUUUUCCUGGUCCUGACUUUAGUUGAUUAUAAAUGAAUUCCCAACUAGCCAGCAGUUUUAGGAUGUGUUUAGUAUGAGCAUCAGAUAGAAUUUGACAGUCACAGGGUUUGGAGAAUGGCAAGAAUUUAAGGAGUUACUCCCCCCCUCCCUCAUAUUUAAGACAAGGAAACAAAUUCAGAGAAGUCACUGAUGCCUCCAAAAUCUCUCAGUCAGUAACUUAGUAGUGUGGUCGGAUUAGAAUGCAAUCACUUGCCUUUUUUCUGUCAUUAAAUAAGCUCAAUAAUAACCUCCUAAAGAAAAGGCAUUGUUAUUCUUCACUAAAGCUAGAACAAAUAUGAUUCUGGCCCAUACCCAAAAAGGUCCCAGAAGGUGAAAUUCACCAAGAAAGGCCACCAGGGUCCUAAUUAGAGGCAAGCUGUCCCAGGGUACACAUCAAGGGAUUUUUCAGGGGAAUGAGCUUCAAAACACAGUGAGCCCUAAGAAAGUUACGUCCUAUGUAUUCAAAAUGUCACUUAAACACAAAUUUCCUUCCUUUCUGGCAAAAAUGAGAUUUUGUUUCCAAUGUAUACAAAUUCUGAGUCAUUCCUAUUUGGGGACAAUCAGAAAAAGAGAGAACAUGGGGUAGGAAAUAGUAAAGGGAAAAAAUGAAUUCGCUGAAGAGGAACACUGGUUUCUGCGGCGGAACCUGAAGGCAAAAGAAUCUAACGUUUGUUUUUUUUUUUUUCAAUUCCUGGCAUGUAAAUUAUUUUGCACCUCUGAGAUGAUGGUGGGUCCCAGGCGCUUAUAGAAGAACAUGAGAUGUAGGAUGACUGACGUGAAAGACAGGAGUCAAAAACUCCCAAGUCAUAAAUCAGAAAGGCACAGAGUAUCUGGAAACCAAAUCAGAGUGGAAAAGAGGGGAGCCACUUACCACGCAUGUCAUCUCCAACAAAGAAAAGUGAAUCUAAAAGUGUCUUCGUGAAAUUAGGAAGGAGUACCUAUUGAACACGCCUAUUUACAUGCAGAAAAUAACACCUGGAACAGCCCCAGAAAAACCUCAAUUUACAGCGAUCCCCAGCCCGCACCCACCGCCCCAAAAAAUCUGUCUUCUUGAACAAGAAUCUCAGUGUGUUCAUCUGGUCUGCAGUUCACUGCAGGCAUUUCCUUCCUCACAAUUUACCAGUCAUCAGUUAAGCAUCUCAAUUAGACCUGCUCCGCCAGCGCCCAACUGCUUAGAAUAUUUUUUGCCCUUUAACGAAUCUCUGGGUUCCUUCAGCCCACUCAGAGCGCCCAACUGCGGUGAACCUGGGCCCUUCAGCCCACUCAGAGCGCCCAGCUGCGGUGAACCUGGGCCCAGGG